AUUGAACGCUGGCGGCAUGCCUUACACAUGCAAGUCGAACGGCAGCACGGGGCAACCUGGUGGCGAGUGGCGAACGGGUGAGUAAUGCAUCGGAACGUACCUUUCAGUGGGGGAUCACGUAGCGAAAGUUACGCUAAUACCGCAUAUUCUGUGAGCAGGAAAGCAGGGGAUAGCAAGGCCUUGCGCUGAUUGAGCGGCCGAUGUCAGAUUAGCUAGUUGGUGAGGUAAAGGCUCACCAAGGCGACGAUCUGUAGUGGGUCUGAGAGGAUGAUCCGCCACACUGGAACUGAGACACGGUCCAGACUCCGACGGGAGGCAGCAGUGGGGAAUUUUGGACAAUGGGGGCAACCCUGAUCCAGCCAUGCCGCGUGAGUGAAGAAGGCCUUCGGGUUGUAAAGCUCUUUCGGCCGGGAAGAAAUCGCACGGGCUAAUACCCUGUGUGGAUGACGGUACCGGAAUAAGAAGCACCGGCUAACUACGUGCCAGCAGCCGCCGUAA
rnacentral:rRNA from 1 species